rnacentral:rRNA from 1 species
GACGAACGCUGGCGGCGUGCUUAACACAUGCCAGUCGAACGGAAAGGCCCUGCUUUUGUGGGGUGCUCGAGUGGCGAACGGGUGAGUAACACGUGAGUAACCUGCCCUUGACUUUGGGAUAACUUCAGGAAACUGGGGCUAAUACCGGAUAGAAGCUCCUGCUGCAUGGUGGGGGUUGGAAAGUUUCGGCGGUUGGGGAUGGACUCGCGGCUUAUCAGCUUGUUGGUGGGGUAGUGGCUUACCAAGGCUUUGACGGGUAGCCGGCCUGAGAGGGUGACCGGCCACAUUGGGACUGAGAUACGGCCCAGACUCCUACGGGAGGCAGCAGUGGGGAAUAUUGCACAAUGGGCGGAAGCCUGAUGCAGCAACGCCGCGUGCGGGAUGACGGCCUUCGGGUUGUAAACCGCUUUCGCCCGUGACGAAGCGUGAGUGACGGUAAUGGGUAAAGAAGCACCGGCUAACUACGUG